rnacentral:rRNA from 1 species
AUUGAACGCUGGCGGCGUGCCUAACACAUGCAAGUCGAGCGGUAACAGGCGUAGCAAUACGUGCUGACGAGCGGCGAACGGGUGAGUAAUGCUUCGGAAUCUGCCCAAUGGUGGGGAAUAACCAGCCGAAAGGUUGGCUAAUACCGCAUAAGUCCUACGGGAGAAAGCAGGGGAUCGCAAGACCUUGCGCCGAUGGAUGAGCCGAAGCCGGAUUAGCUAGUUGGUAGGGUAACGGCCUACCAAGGCGACGAUCCGUAGCUGGUCUGAGAGGACGACCAGCCACACUGGGACUGAGACACGGCCCAGACUCCUACGGGAGGCAGCAGUGGGGAAUAUUGGACACUGGGGGAAACCCUGAUCCAGCGACGCCGCGUGUGUGAAGAAGGCCUGCGGGUUGUAAAGCACUUUUAGUGGGGAUGAAAAGUGCAGAGCUAAUAUCUCUGCAUCUUGACCUAACCCACAGAAAAAGCACCGGCUAACUCUGUGCCAGCCGCCGCGGUAAAAC